AAUACGUACUACCGAGCGUUGACCGGAAUUAUUGGGCGUAAAGCGCGGACUCAGGCGGUCCCUAAAUUCUGAUGUGAAAGCCCACGGCUUAACCGUGGAGGGUCAUUGGAAACUGGGNNGUCUUGAGUGCAGAAGAGGAGCGCGGAUUUCCACGUGUAGUACGCUAUGAAANGCGUAGAGAUGUGGAGGAACACCAGUGGCGUAGGCGGCNCUCAGGUCUGUACUACUUACGCUGGGGCGCGAAAUUACUGGGGUGGAAACAGGAUUAGAUACCCUGGUAGACCACGCCGAGAGGGGUUUUCCCUUUAGUGCUGUAUGCNACCCGAUAAGGACUCGGCCUGGGGAGUACGGCCGCAAGGCUGAAACUCAAAGGAAUGACCGUAGGCCCGCACAA
rnacentral:rRNA from 1 species